AUCCCAUAAAACCAUUCUCAGUUCGGAUUGUAGGCUGCAACUCGCCUACAUGAAGCCGGAAUCGCUAGUAAUCGCGGAUCAGCAUGCCGCGGUGAAUACGUUCCCGGGCCUUGUACACACCGCCCGUCACACCACGAGAGUUUGUAACACCCGAAGUCGGUGGGGUAACCUUUUGGAGCCAGCCGCCUAAGGUGGGACAGAUGAUUGGGGUGAAGUCGUAACAAGGUAGCCGUAUCGGAAGGUGCGGCUGGAUCACCUCCUUUCUAUGGA
rnacentral:rRNA from 1 species